UGGGGAAUAUUGGACAAUGGGCGAAAGCCUGAUCCAGCCAUGCCGCGUGUGUGAAGAAGGCCUUUUGGUUGUAAAGCACUUUAAGUGGGGAGGAAAAGCUUGUGGUUAAUACCCAUAAGCCCUGACGUUACCCACAGAAUAAGCACCGGCUAACUCUGUGCCAGCAGCCGCGGUAAUACAGAGGGUGCAAGCGUUAAUCGGAAUUACUGGGCGUAAAGCGCGCGUAGGUGGUUAUUUAAGUCAGAUGUGAAAGCCCCGGGCUUAACCUGGGAACUGCAUCUGAUACUGGAUAACUAGAGUAGGUGAGAGGGGAGUAGAAUUCCAGGUGUAGCGGUGAAAUGCGUAGAGAUCUGAAGGAAUACCGAUGGCGAAGGCAGCUCCCUGGCAUCAUACUGACACUGAGGUGCGAAAGCGUGGGUAGCAAACAGGAUUAGAUACCCUGGUAGUCCACGCCGUAAACGAUGUCUACCAGUCGUUGGGUCUUUUAAAGACUUAGUGACGCAGUUAACGCAAUAAGUAGACCGCCUGGGGAGUACGGCCGCAAGGUUA
rnacentral:rRNA from 1 species